CCUACGGGUGGCUGCAGUAAGGAAUAUUGGUCAAUGGACGAAAGUCUGAACCAGCCAUGCCGCGUGGAGGAUGAAGGUCCUCUGGAUUGUAAACUUCUUUUAUAUGGGACGAAAAAAGGCUUUUCUAAGUCGUCUGACGGUACCAUAUGAAUAAGCACCGGCUAACUCCGUGCCAGCAGCCGCGGUAAUACGGAGGGUGCAAGCGUUAUCCGGAUUCACUGGGUUUAAGGGGUGUUGGGGUGGGUGGGUUGAAAUCCCCGAGCUUAAGUUGGGAACUGCCAGUGAUACUAUCAGUCUUGAAUACCGUGGAGGUCAGCGGAAUAUGUCAUGUAGCGGUGAAAUGCUUAGAUAUGACAUAGAACACCAAUUGCGAAGGCAGCUGGCUACCCGAAUAUUGACACUGAGGCACGAAAGCGUGGGGAUCACACAGGAUUAGAUACCCCAGUAGUG
rnacentral:rRNA from 1 species